rnacentral:rRNA from 1 species
GCCAAAAAGAAAGUCCAACCAAAACACAAAAAUCCAUAAAAGACAGACAAACAAAACAUUUGAUUAAUUUAGUAGAUGCGAUCGAACAAUGAUACCGGCACAUCAACCCUAGUACCGCAAGGGAAAAAUAAACAAUUAAGCAAGAAACAGCAAAGAUCAAACCUUGUACCUUUUGCAUCAUGGUUUAGCAAGAACACCAGACAAGAAGACACCGCCAGCCUACCCCCCCGAAACCAAGUGAGCUACCUCAAAGCAGCCUAAAGGGCCAACCCUUCUCUGUAGCAAAAGAGUGGGAAGACUUAGAAGUAGAAGUGAAACGCCUAUCGAACUUGGAGAUAGCUGGUUACCCAAAAAUGAAUGUAAGUUCUACUUUAGACCAAAUUACAAACAAUAGUAAUCUAAAGAAAUUCAAUAGGGGUACAGCUCUAUUGAAACAGGAUACAACCUGAAUUUGAGAGCAAAUAACAAACAAGACACAGUAGGCCUUAAAGCAGCCACCUAUAAAAAUAUCGUUCAAGAAUUACCAAAAAAAUAACAGAACCAACCAAGUACUCCAAAACUAACUAAGGGUUAACCUAUAAACAUAGGUGAAACAAUGCUAAAACUAAUAAUAAGAAAAACUUCUCUAAGCACAAGAACCGCUAGAAACAGAAAAUCUACUAGCAAUUAACAGACCAUAAGAGGAAUAAAACAACCCAAUUCACAACUUAUUAAAAAACUGUAAACCCGACACAGGAGUGCUAAAAAGAAAGAUAAAAAAUUAUAAAAGGAACUCGGCAACCAAUGGCUCCAACUGUUUACCAAAAACAUAACCUUUAGCCAAACAAGUAUUAAAGGCAAUGCCUGCCCAGUGAGUACAUCUUUAACGGCCGCGGUACCCUAACCGUGCAAAGGUAGCGUAAUCAUUUGUCUAUUAAUUGUAGACUGGUAUGAAAGGCCACAUGAGAGCCAAACUGUCUCUUAUAAUAAAUCAAUUAAACUGAUCUCCUAGUACAAAAGCUAGAAUAACUAUAUAAGACCAGAAGACCCUGUGAAGCUUAAACUAAACUAUUAAACCAAUUAAUAACUACUUUCGGUUGGGGCGACCUUGGAACAAAACCAAACUUCCAAACAAAAUGAGCUAUACCUCAUAACCCUAGGCCAACAAGCCAACCAACGACCCAGUAUAACUGAUCAUUGAACCAAGUUACUCCAGGGAUAACAGCGCUAUCUUCUUCAAGAGCCCAUAUCAAAAAGAAGGUUUACGACCUCGAUGUUGGAUCAGGACACCCAAAUGGUGUAGCCGCUAUUAAUGGUUCGUUUGUUCAACGAUUAACAGUCCUACGUGAUCUGAGUUCAGACCGGAGCAAUCCAGGUCAGUUUCUAUCUAUAACCAGGCCAUACCUAGUACGAAAGGACCGAUAUGGCAAAGCCAAUACCAAAAGCACGCUUUAACAAAUAAAAUAUAAAAAAAAUCAAUGUUGAAACCACUGAUAACCCGGGCCAAGAAAAGGCCAAUUAAGGACCGCAGAACAAAACACAAUUAAACCUUA